rnacentral:rRNA from 1 species
UACGAAGGGGGCUAGCGUUGCUCGGAAUUACUGGGCGUAAAGGGCGCGUAGGCGGAUAGUUUAGUCAGAGGUGAAAGCCCAGGGCUCAACCUUGGAAUUGCCUUUGAUACUGGCUAUCUUGAGUUCGGGAGAGGUGAGUGGAAUUGCGAGUGUAGAGGUGAAAUUCGUAGAUAUUCGCAGGAACACCAGGGGCGAAGGCGGCUCACUGGCUCGAUACUGACGCUGAGGUGCGAAAGCGUGGGGAGCAAACAGG